UUUCAACUCUUUUAACACUCUCUCUCUCUCUCUCUCUCUCUCUCUCUCUCUAUCUAUAUAUCUCUCUCAUGUGUUCGAGCUAACCAGAAGCAAACGUUCAAACAUGGCCGCAAAGCUAAAUGUGCGAAUCACAGGUGAAUUAACACUUCUUUAAUUCCGAAUUCAAUUCCAUCUUCGAUUUUAUUUGAUUUCGUCUUCGAUUCCGUAUACGAAUUCAUCUUUAUGUAUUCAACUUCAUCUUCCAUUUUUUAUUUGAUUUCAUCUUCGAUUAUGUAUUUGUUUUCAUCUUUGGUUUCGCAUCUCCUUGCUUAUUUUUCUUUCAUUUGA
rnacentral:lncRNA from 1 species